rnacentral:rRNA from 1 species
AAUGAACGUUGGCGGCGUGGAUUAGGCAUGCAAGUCGAGCGGGUGUAGUAAUACAUCAGCGGCGAAAGGGAGAGUAACGCGUAGUUACGUGCCCCAGGGUUCGGAAUAGCCACGGGAAACUGUGGGUAAUGCCGAAUAACAUCUCCGGAUCAAAGGUGUGAUUCCGCCCUGGGAGCGGACUGCGUCCUACUAGCUAGUUGGCGGGGUAAUGGCCCACCAAGGCGACGAUGGGUAGCGGGUGUGAGAGCAUGACCCGUCUCACUGGGACUGAGACACUGCCCAGACACCUACGGGAGGCAG